UUACAGGUGGACUUCAGGUAACACUGUGACAUCACUAGUGGGUGUGGUUACAGGUGGACUUCAGGUAACACUGUGACAUCACUACUGGGUGUGGUUACAGGUGGCCUUCAGGUAACACUGUGACAUCACUAGUGGGUGUGGUUACAGGUGGACUUCAGGUAACACUAUGACAUCACUAGUGGGUGUGGUUACAGGUGGACUUCAGGUAACACUGUGACAUCACUACUGGGUGUGGUUACAGGUGUCCUUCAGGUAACACUGUGACAUCACUAGUGGGUGUGGUUACAGGUGGACUUCAGGUAACACUGUGACAUCACUAGUGGGUGUGGUUACAGGUGGACUUCAGGUAACACUGUGACAUCACUAGUGGGUGUGGUUACAGGUGGACUUCAGGUAACACUAUGACAUCACUACUGGGUGUGGUUACAGGUGGACUUCAGGUAACACUGUGACAUCACUAGUGGGUGUGGUUACAGGUGGACUUCAGGUAACACUAUGACAUCACUAGUGGGUGUGGUUACAGGUGGACUUCAGGUAACACU